UACGUAGGGUGCGAGCGUUGUCCGGAAUUAUUGGGCGUAAAGGGCUCGUAGGCGGUUUGUCGCGUCGGGAGUGAAAACACUGGGCUUAACUCAGUGCUUGCUUCCGAUACGGGCAGACUAGAGGUAUGCAGGGGAGAACGGAAUUCCUGGUGUAGCGGUGAAAUGCGCAGAUAUCAGGAGGAACACCGGUGGCGAAGGCGGUUCUCUGGGAAGAUACUGACGCUGAGGUGCGAAAGCGUGGGGAGCAAACAGG
rnacentral:rRNA from 1 species